UACUGGAAUAUUUCGCAAGAGAUUUUGUUAUCCCCCUGAGUGGAAUGAGCAGAACCAAUUGGACAUUUUAUACAGCAACAGAAAUAUUUGAAAAAUGACUUGAGCAUGUCCACUUCCAGAGAAAGAACUGGAAUGAUGAACAGGAUGAUUUCAGAAACAGCUGGAAAGACCUACAUGAACUGAUGCAGAGUGAAAUAAGAAGAACCAGGAGAACAUUAUACACAGUAACAGCAAUA
rnacentral:lncRNA from 1 species